UGAAACCUACGGGACGCAGCAGUGAGGAAUAUUGGUCAAUGGGCGGGAGCCUGAACCAGCCACGCCGCGUGAGGGAAGAAGGUACAGCGUAUCGUAAACCUCUUUUGUCAGGGAACAAAGGCGGGGACUAGUCCCCGGAUGAGGGUACCUGAAGAAAAAGCAUCGGCUAACUCCGUGCCAGCAGCCGCGGUAAUACGGAGGAUGCGAGCGUUAUCCGGAUUUAUUGGGUUUAAAGGGUGCGCAGGCGGCCUGUUAAGUCAGCGGUAAAACCCCGGGGCUCAACCCCGGCGCGCCGUUGAAACCGG
rnacentral:rRNA from 1 species